rnacentral:lncRNA from 1 species
AAUGCGAUCUGCCUGUGACAGGUUUCGGCAUCUCAAGAGACGCCAUAUAUCUUGGUUAGAGGCGAAGAUUUGUAUUUGCAGAACAUUCUUAUCGCCUUCUCGAUCUCGACGCAGCAGACACGGACGUACGGAGACUUGCUGCGAUUCCGGAACUAAUAUACUGCUCGAUGCAGUCUUGAUUGAGCAUUUUGCACCACACACGUUUGUUAUAGACUAAGAAAAGGUCAUUGGAGCAGUGGUAUACUCGGGUGAAGCGACCCACAACGCUCUGCAGCCUAGUGCAGGCCUGGAGUCAACGUACAGUAUUUUGGCCUACAAUCGCCAACACAUAUCUAAGAGAAAAUCAAGAGGUGCCUAAGGUAGAAAUUUCUUAUAGCCUCAAGCUUCAGUAACAAGCUGCUGGGCUGAGAUAUAACACGGCUAUGGAAGCAAUGCCUCAUCGUGGAAGCCCCCCACUAUCUGACAAGAUCUUGUGACACCGUUCAGGAAUGGAAGACUCUCUUCGCUGAAAUGGGCCUGCCAAAACGGACAUGCAAAGCAUGAAGAUACUAUGGGUCGUCUGCGCCGCGCUGGUCACAUCCCUGGCCGUGCCAAUCUGGUCCAGGGCGCUGAACGAUGUGGAUGCCUGCAACGGCAAGAGCAUUUACAUUCUGGACCUGCAAAUGUUUGCAGCAGACAACAACAUGCCCACCUGCGACGUCAUGAAGG